rnacentral:rRNA from 1 species
AGCGGUGGAGCAUGUGGUUUAAUUCGAAGCAACGCGAAGAACCUUACCAGGUCUUGACAUCCCUUGACAACUCCAGAGAUGGAGCGUUCCCUUCGGGGACAAGGUGACAGGUGGUGCAUGGUUGUCGUCAGCUCGUGUCGUGAGAUGUUGGGUUAAGUCCCGCAACGAGCGCAACCCUUAUUACUAGUUGCCAGCAUUCAGUUGGGCACUCUAGUGAGACUGCCGGUGACAAACCGGAGGAAGGUGGGGAUGACGUCAAAUCAUCAUGCCCCUUAUGACCUGGGCUACACACGUGCUACAAUGGCGUAUACAACGAGUUGCCAACCCGCGAGGGUGAGCUAAUCUCUUAAAGUACGUCUCAGUUCGGAUUGUAGGCUGCAACUCGCCUACAUGAAGUCGGAAUCGCUAGUAAUCGCGGAUCAGCACGCCGCGGUGAAUACGUUCCCGGGUCUUGUACACACCGCCCGUCACACCAUGAGAGUU